rnacentral:rRNA from 1 species
GAUGAACGCUGGCGGCGUGCCUAAUACAUGCAAGUCGAGCGAAAAGACGCGGCGCUUGCUUCGUUGACGUUAGGGGCGGACGGGAGAGUCACGCGUGGAUACCCCACCUAUAUGUCGGGGAAAACUACGGGAAACCGGCGCUAAUACCGUAUAAUCUUUUGAACCGCGUGGUUCGAUGGUAAAAGACGGCGUUGCUGUCACUAAUAGCUGCAUCUGCGCUGGAUUAGCUAGUUGGUACGGUAACGGCUUACCAAGGCAACGAUGCGUAGACGACCGGAGAGGGUGAUCGGCCACACUAGAAGUGAGACGCGGACCAGACUCCUACGGGAGGCAGCAGUAGGGAAUCUGCCGCAAUGGGCGAAAGCCUGGCGGAGCAACGGCGCGUGUGUUAUGAAGGUCUUCGGUGCGUGAAACUCGCUUAUUAGGGAAGAACAGAUUUGGAAGUAACUGUGGCGUUCGUGACGGUACCUAAUCAGGAAGCCACGGCUAACUACGUG